GCAGUUUCUCGGAAAAAUGUGCCCGCGCUUCUCCUGACCGGGUCUGUGUCCUGUCCUGGCAUUCCCACCACCAGACUUCCUGUCCUCCCCAACUUGGCCCUAGCUCUUUUCAGCAUCUACUAUUUCAUGUGGUUUCCGGAACGCAGAUCAACGUCGAGUGACUUCCAGUAUUUGCAGGGUACCAGCUAUUGAAGGUCUCGGAACUAAGAAGACCAAGACAAAUAAGACUCAGCUGUGCUUGUCCUUGGGGAGUGUCAGAGUUACAAGACUGAAAGCAGAAGCUUACAGGGCUCUUUAGAGGAAGGAGGAGACUCAGCUGUGAUCCACAAUCACUUCCACACAUUCUGCUGGCCAAAGCAGAGUACAAGGCUGCCAAGAUUCAAAUCAUGAAGAAUCAGACUCUGGUGGUAGCAGGAGCUGUAAAGAGAGUAGAUACAGGGAAGUAAUAAUUGUAGCCAUUUAAAAAAAUUACCAAUAACCACCCUUACCUAAGCUUGUCAAAAUGAAAUGGCUGCAGAAUGCAUGCCUAAGGGGGGAAAAUAGCCUGCUACAUGCAAUUGUUCAGAGUAAACUAAGUAAAAAUUGAUAGGCAUUUGCCAAGUAUUUUUGUAUACUAAACAUUCAAAUUUAGUCAUUCAUUCAAAUAGUAGUUAGUAAAAUGAGAUAUCUUUUGUGGCAACUGUUAUCCUUAUAUAGGGAUGUAUAUAUUUUCAUAUAUGCAGUUGUAAAUUUAAGCAAUAUUAAACACAAGUGGGGAAAAUGAAGAGACAGAUGAGUCUUAAUACAGAGCUGAUUUGGAUAUUUCCACCCUUCUUCUCUUACCAAGGAAGUCAUUAGCUGUCUUGCCUUAGGAUCUUCAGAGAGGAUUCCAGUGAAAAUGAAAGAAAUAAGCAAAAAAAAGAAAAAAACCCUAAGAAAUUGAACCUUAAUAAAUGAAUAGGGAGUACAGGACACAGCAAAGUGAUUGCAGAUAUUGAGGAUAUCAUAUUCUUCUUGCAAAGAAACCUAAUUAGGUAGGAAAGAAUCAAGAUUUCAUUGAUCCUCAGUGAAAAGCAUGCUGUUUCCUUCACCACUUGAUUUUUCACUGCUCAGUCAAUACUACCUCAGACAACUGCUUUCGCACAAAUACAACCAUAUCUUUCCACUGUACUCAACUUUGUCCAGCAACCUUAAAUUAAUCUUAGGGGAUCUUUUCUUUCUCUCUCUUGUUUCUAUUCCUAUGUUACAAAAAUAAAAUGAGUUAUGACUAACAAAUGGAGUGUGACCUCACCCAUGAAAGGGAAAAUAUAAAAUCAGAAACCAGUACCAUAAACUCUGAACCCCUUGGAGUGUCUGUGAUUUCCCUUUAUCAUCCUCACAGGAACGUCCGUCUGCCUCAUUCUUUUCUGGUUCAGUGUCCUUCCAAGCAUGACAUGAAGAAUACUUUUAAACUUGUAUUUAAAUCAAGUCAAAUUGAGUACACAUUUCAGUUACAGUGAAGUUUAAACAGACUUCUACUGGUGUACCUCACUGUAGGAUAUGAUCGUUUUAUUUUUGUUUUGUAGAAAAAUGCAUGCAGACCAGGAACAAACUUGUGAUCCUAGCAUUGCAGCAGGAUGAGACAAGUGGACCACAAGUUUAAGCCCAGCUUGGAUAAUUUAGUGACUCAGGAGGUCCUGUUGAGAGAGAAAGUGGGGGGGGGUGGGGAGGAAGAAGGAGGAGGAAGAGGAGAGAAAGAAAAGAAAAGGACUUGGGAUGUUCGUUAGUGAAAGGGCUCUGGUUCAAUCCCUCGUGCCCCCCCCAAGAAAACCCCAUAAAAUAAACAAACGAGACACCCCAUACCAACCAGACAGAAAAACAAAAGUGCAUUCUGAAUACUUACUUAAAUUAAAAGUGAAAUUCUGGAACAAA